rnacentral:rRNA from 1 species
CCUACGGGUGGCAGCAGUGGGGAAUAUUGGGCAAUGGGCGCAAGCCUGAACCAGCAAUGCCGCGUGAAGGAAGAAGGCUUUCGGGUUGUAAACUUCUUUGACAGGGGAAGAGCAGAAGGCGGUACCCUGAAAACAAGCCACGGCUAACUACGUGCCAGCCGCCGCGGUAAUUCGUAGGUGGCAAGCGUUUUCCGGAUUUACUGGGUGUAAAGGGCGUGUAGCCGGGAAGGCAAGUCAGAUGUGAAAUCCGGAGGCUCAACCUCCGAAUCGCAGUUGAAACUGUUUGUCUUGAGUACUGGAGAGGCAGACGGAAUGCGUGGUGUAGCGGUGAAAUGCGUAGAUAUAAGGAGGAACACCAGUGGCGAAGGCGGUCUGCUGGACAGCAACUGACGGUGAGGCGCGAAAGCGUGGGGAGCAAAUAGGAUUAGAUACCCGAGUAGUC